CUGCUUCUUUGGCUCGCGGUUUCGAGUGCUUCCAAUAUGGGCCGCGGUCCUUCCCCGUGUAGGAGUUGUCAAGGAUCCCAUUAUGGAGUUUCCUCCCGUGGUCACGGUUCUUCCGCGCCUGAGUUUGGCAUUCAGGGCAGGAGCUCCUGGUUGUCUUCAGCUGGGUUGGGCUCGUUUGGUGUGGUUGUGUGGUCCGUGCAUUAGGGGUGCCCAAGGGGAACCCCCUCUGUCCCUGCCUUUUGUCUCUCCACUUGUGGUUCUUUG